AUAGUCCUGAGCCUUCUUGUUUCUCAAACUGAAGUAAUUUGUCAGGAUGCAGCACCUUUUAAAGAAACAAGUUUUUUGAGAUCCUAAAGAGUAAAUGUUUUGAGUAACACUGACUUAAGUUAUUUGAAAUGUAAACAUGGUUUCCAAUUUCAAAAUAGCUUUAUCAUUUAUUGUAGUUAAUCGAGUUAUCAUUCGAUGUUAAUAUACAGCUAUAACUAU
rnacentral:lncRNA from 1 species